AUGAAUAGGUUCCCCGGACAGAGAACGGGCGCGCUUCUUCCUAGUCAGGGCGAUGGCCGUGACGCUGCCCGGAGUAAAAGAACGAAGAUGGAUUUUGCAUUCUUUUUGAGAUUGAACCAAAAUCUACUAAAAUGAAUUUCAAGAGUCUUCGAAUUGGACUUUGUCAAAUUUUAAGCUUCGAGGAAGGCAGAGGAGCAGGCCGCCACCGGGCAGAAAGGGGAAGUUGCCACUUUUACUUUUUUGGCUACGCUCCUCGCGGCCAGACCUUUCCUCUUUUUUAAACAGAAUUCGGAUUUUGGAACAAAUAGGAUAUUAGACCUUUAGUCCCCUCUCUUGUUCUGUGUGGCCACAGCGGCUUUCAUGGAUGAUGGCAAGAGUGUACAGGAAAUGAGGAAGGAGAGUCCAGCUCAUGUGAAAUGCAGUAAAGAAACUUGAACAGCAUCAUCACCAACUAAGCCAUUUGGAUGCUGCAAGCUGGCGGAGAAACAAGCUGGGCAAAAUGGGCAGCAAAAGGUCAUGCAGCAUAAAGCGCUUACCUUUAUCCACUAGUUUUUUAAUCAAUUAGAGUAAGGUAAAGGCACAAGCAAAAGAGAAGACUUGUUAGACGACUUCCCCGCCACUGACCCUCAGGAGUCAAAUGAAAUCCAGCAAACUUACCAAGUUCCUCUAAUUCAGACGUCAUUGACUUGGAGCGCAUGGACAGGGCAGUAGUAGGAGCUCUCUUUGGCGGAGGAGGAGCUGAGGGGUCAAAAGAACAUAGUAGUUAACACAGGUACUGAAAAGGGAGUAACAGCAAUGUCUAAAUAUUCUAUGUUAAUUCUAUAUUAAUUUAUACAAACAUAGUUGCUCCAUCAGAGCACAGACACGGCACACAGCUUGGUAACUUUUCCAUUACACAUAAGGCAGAGCUCAUUAACGUCAUGACACAUUGAUACAAAACAUUCAGUAGAUAACAAGACAUUCUUAUGAGGAUAUUAUUUGCUUCUUUUCCCCUCCGUUUUCUUCCCUUCCGUACUCCUGCUUGCGGAGAGUAUAAAACCUUCUGAUCAGGAGUCUGACAUGGUUGUUCUCAUCUGUACUAACUGCCGUGAAGCAACCCAAGAUCUUGCAAAUAAAGAACCAACUAUUACUCCACAUCUUUGUUUUCUUUUCUCAACGAUGGACAUCUUCAACAAAACGCAACGAUUGGUGACCCUGACGUGAUGUCCAGUUGAGCGUUUUUGAGACUUCUGAGAGGGAGAACUUAUUCUGCCGUCUGGAGGCCCGGGGCCCCACCUUUAGAAGGUAAAACACUCUCAACGGAUGAAUGAUCCUCCCCUCAGACCUUGGGUAGCAAUAGCGAAAGAUGGUCAGAUCCUGUGCUGCCACUGUACCUGCAUGGCUGGAUUGGGUGAAACAUGUUCACAUUCAGCAGCAUCCUUGUUCGCCCUGGAAACAUUAAUACGUAUGAAGACGGCCACUUCAUCUACAUCACUACCUUGUCAGUGGCUGAAACUAUCAGCAUCGCACAUAGAAUAUGCUGAAGGAUGCAAUAUCGAUUUUGCCCGUCCAGCCCAGAAACAAAAGUCAGAAGUUUCAACUCCUAAGGAAAGUGCUGCGAGAAAACUGCUGAAUGUUCCUCCACCAACUGAAGAGCAGAAAGCUGCCUUUUACAAGGCUUUGUCUGAAUGUGGUGGAAGACCAGCAAUUUUGAGCAUUGUCCCUGACUAUGCUGACAACUUUGUGCCAAGGGCAGUGAAGCGAAAGCUUCCUGUACCUCUCUCACAGUUGCACGAUUCUGGCAAUAUGAAACUCAGCCCAGAUGAACUUGCACUAAAAUGCCGGUCAGAGGUGGAAAAGUUACAUUCCAUUACCAGAGAGCAGAUCCCGGGAGAGUAAGUCAGUAAACUCACAUUUAUUUUCAUCGAAAGCUACAAUGUGGCCUAAGUGGAUGGUGAAACAGGUCAGAAAAAGAGACUGCUUUUGCUUUUCGUCCCUGCGCCUAUCAUUAAAAUGAUUUAUAAGUAAGUUUAAUAAAUAAGAAAACUUGACAAGAGAAAAAUAGCAGAACAGUGAUUGCUCCUCUUUCUCAAAAGUAUUAUUAUUUCUUUGUCCCUUCUUACUUCAUGACAGCGUGGUGGUUUUGCCUUUUGAUUUUAAAGCCAGUCCUAGUUGGCUAUGAGAAUGCACACUGCAUUAUAGCGUCAGGUAACCUUGACUAAAAUAUGGUCUUGCACUGCCAACAAAGUGAUUUAAAAUACGCCUUACACAAAAGAUGAUGACGACACCCGCAUGGGCCAAUUUUUUUACACUGCGUACUUGCUAAGAAUUCUAGACCACACGUAAGCUCCCAUGCAGAAAACAAGGAGGGCGAGCAAGAGCUGUUGUAAACUGGUUUUGGUUACCAAAGCCGUAAUAGCAAAAACAAAAAUUUGAAAUAAUAUCACAUCGUAGCCUCGGCCAGUCAUGAAAUGUUGAAAUUUAUAAUCGACACCUUCAGUGCCAUUUCACAUCUGUCUGUUUUCUUUCAUAAGUCACCAAGAGGCGCACUGAUUAGAACAUCUGCCUCACAGUUCAGAGGUGCAGGGUUCAAUUCCGGCUCCGGCCUUUCUGUGUGGAGUUUGCAUGUUCUUUUACUGCCUGUGUGGGUUUUCUGCAGAGGCGUAGCCAGGAAUUUUUCCAGUAGGGGCGCGCGCCCACAGGAAAAAAAAUCGAACACCACCCACGCCGUUCGCUGAUCGCUAAAACAACAUCCGGGUCCGGGAGGCAAACGGUGAAUGGAUAACAUCGCACACAUAGCAGAUUCGCGCAAGACCAAAAGAAAAAAACGGCAUGAAAAUGAAGAAUCGAAAAAGCUCGAUUUUUUUCAACCGGGGCGCAGGGAGUCCUAACCGGGGCGCCGCCCCGGCUCGCCCCGGCUUGGCUACGCCUCUGGUUUUCUGCGGGUACUCUAGUUUCACCACACAUCCCAAAAACAUGUACGGUAGGUCGACUGACCACUCUAAAUUAUCCGUGGGGGUGAGUGUGAAUAGUUAUUUGUCUGUGUGCCUUGUGAUUAGUUGGCAACCAGAACAGGGUGUACCCACCUACCACCCAAAGACAGCCACACCAUUCCCAUGCACUCGUGAGGAUAAGUGGUUCGGACGAUGAAUGAAAAUCACCAAGCAAACACAAAGUGGUCAGAGAGGCUUUUUUGUGACUGAAAUCUAAGGGUUAUUUUGUCCACAUACUCCCUCCAUUGCCUAUCCAAAAUAGAGGUGCACCACACUCGGUGAAGGGUGGGCCACAUCACUGGAGGCUCCCAAUCCUAAAAGUCCAACUUUUACAUUUGGACAAGCUGAGCUGGGCGUUGUCUCACAGUUUUUUAUAUUGAAGCACACGGACUGACUGACUGGCAGUGACUGGCAUCUCCUGCUUCGGCCAGAUGGAUGGCAAGCAGAUGGGUUCGAGAGGUCCGGCGGUGGGCAGGAAGCUUCACUGUGUGUCGCGGCUGGUUGAUCCUACUGGCUGAUGUAACACAGACAAGUCUGGCUGGUGAGAAGUUAAAAUCAGUGUGCUAAUCAUUUCCCUUUUACCUCCAUCCAUUUUCUAUACCACUUGUCCCCAAUUGGGGUCGCGGGCAUGCUGGAGCCUAUCCCAGCAGACACCCUGAACCAGUUGCCAGCCAAUCGCAGGGCAUACAGAGACGACCAAACAUUUGCACUCACACUCACACUUAGGGACAAUUUGGAGUGCUCAAGCCCGGAGAAAACCCACACGGGCACGGGGAGAACAUGCAAACUCCACACAGGGAGGACCGGAGGUGGAAUCAAUCCUGCGCCCUCCUAACUGUGAGGCGCACGUGCUAAGCAGUGCGCCACCAAGCUGCCCUCCCUUUAACCUUCAGAAUGCAAUUCCUGCCUGAACAAGCCAUAGGAUGUAGUGGGAGCUGUGUCUGUUGAAAUAUGGUAAGUUAAGCCGUGCCCCCAUGACAUUGUUUACAAACUUGAAAGUGGUCUAUUGUAAGUAAGGAACAUGCAUUGACAUUUACACAUUUACUCCAUACAGCAGGGGUGGGCAAUUCCGGUCCUCGAGGGCCGCUGUCCUGCAUGUUUUCUAUGUCACCCUGUUGCAACACACCUGAUUCAAAUGGUCAGAUAAUUAGCAGGGUCUGCAGAAGCUGGAUAACAAUCCUGAUCAUUUGAAUGAGGUGUGUUGCAGCAGGG